rnacentral:rRNA from 1 species
AUUGAACGCUGGCGGCAGGCCUAACACAUGCAAGUCGAGCGGAUGACGGGAGCUUGCUCCUGGAUUCAGCGGCGGAUGGGUGAGUAAUGCCUAGGAAUCUGCCUGGUAGUGGGGGACAACGUUUCGAAAGGAACGCUAAUACCGCAUACGUCCUACGGGAGAAAGCAGGGGACCUUCGGGCCUUGCGCUAUCAGAUGAGCCUAGGUCGGAUUAGCUAGUUGGUGAGGUAAUGGCUCACCAAGGCGACGAUCCGUAACUGGUCUGAGAGGAUGAUCAGUCACACUGGAACUGAGACACGGUCCAGACUCCUACGGGAGGCAGCAGUGGGGAAUAUUGGACAAUGGGCGAAAGCCUGAUCCAGCCAUGCCGCGUGUGUGAAGAAGGUCUUCGGAUUGUAAAGCACUUUAAGUUGGGAGGAAGGGUUGUAGAUUAAUACUCUGCAAUUUUGACGUUACCGACAGAAUAAGCACCGGCUAACUCUGUGCCAGCAGCCGCUGUAACAC